AUGAACGCUGGCGGCGUGCCUAACACAUGCAAGUCGAGCGGAGAUAAUGGGAGAUUCUUCGGAUGAUCCUAUUAUCUUAGCGGCGGAUGGGUGAGUAACACGUGGGUAACCUGCCCUGCACGAGGGGGAUAACAGCUGGAAACGGCUGUUAAUACCGCAUAUGCACACGCUGCCGCAUGGCGAGGGGGUGGAAAGAUUUAUCGGUGCAGGAUGGGCCCGCGUCGGAUUAACUAGUUGGCAGGGUAACGGCCUACCAAGGUGAUGAUCCGUAGCCGACCUGAGAGGGUGACCGGCCACAUUGGGACUGAGAUACGGCCCAGACUCUGCGGGAGGCAGCAGUAGGAAUAUUGCACAAUGGGGGAAACCCUGAUGCAGCAACGCCACGUGUGGGAAGAAGCAUUUCGGUGUGUAAACCACUGCCGUGAGGGAAUAAGGCUGGCUUUCGGGCCAGUUGAAUGUACCUCGAGAGGAAGCACCGGCAAACUUCGUGCCAGCCGCCGC
rnacentral:rRNA from 1 species